UGAGUGACAGAUGCAUCAUCGAGCUUCCACAUAGCAUGUGAGAGUAGGGUAGCGCAGCAUCUAAAGAGGAUGGACCUACCAGAAUUGUCACUCGAAGCAGUGACUAUUGUAUUAGCCAUUCAAACAGUUUAUGUAGGAUGGCGAUAUUGGCGAGGAUAUGCAGCGAUGUCCGGCACCCGUGCAGUGAUGGAAGCCAUUAGGGAGACUUUAAGAGUACAGUUAGAUAAAAUGACCAUUGCCUUCUCCCCAAUUUUUCUUGCGAUUCUGUGGACCUCUGGGCUGCUCUACAGUAGAGAGUUGGCGCCUAUCUUAGCGACUGGGUAUAUCCUAGGCCGACCAAUGUGCCCUGUUGGAACUCACAAACCCAUUAAAAUAUGGCAUUUCUUGGGCUUUUACAUGGCGAUGACGUCUGUUAUUCUUCUGAGUCUUUCUGCCUGCCUUGGCCUGCUCCGUGCCACCCUGGAGCCAUACAGUGACACCUUGAGUCAAUACGCUGUCGUUGACCUCCGCCACUUAAUCAGUUGCCUUUAUCCACCUCCCACACCACCAUCUUCUUUCUUCUAGUUCACCAAGUCAUCGAACCACUGAAUGGUGAUGAUGGUCAACUAACUGGCUAUGAGAGUCUUGUGCAAUAAAAAAAAGCAGAUAUA